UGGGGAAUAUUGCGCAAUGGGCGAAAGCCUGACGCAGCAACGCCGCGUGAGUGAUGAAGGCCUUCGGGUCGUAAAGCUCUGUCGGAGGGAACGAAUGCUCUUGAGGUUAACAGCCUCGGGAGGUGACGGUACCCUCAAAGGAAGCACCGGCUAACUCUGUGCCAGCAGCCGCGGUAAUACGUAGGGUGCAGGCGUUAAUCGGAAUUACUGGGCGUAAAGCGUGCGCAGGCGGCUCCUUAAGUCAGAUGUGAAAUCCCCGGGCUUAACCUGGGAACUGCGUUUGAAACUGAGGGGCUAGAGUGUGGAAGAGGGGGGUGGAAUUCCAGGUGUAGCAGUGAAAUGCGUAGAGAUCUGGAGGAACACCGAUGGCGAAGGCAGCCCCCUGGGCUAACACUGACGCUCAUGCACGAAAGCGUGGGGAGCAAACAGGAUUAGAUACCCUUGUAGUCCCUGAGCGGGCUGGCAAGGCGC
rnacentral:rRNA from 1 species